GGAAUGGUGGCGGAAAUGGUAGACGCAACGAGGAUAGCGCGCACGUUAUGAGAAGCCGACUUGCAACAAACGGUCUCAUUGCAGGUUCGACCCCUGCCCAUUCCA
rnacentral:tRNA from 1 species